UACGGAGGGUGCAAGCGUUAUCCGGAUUCACUGGGUUUAAAGGGUGCGUAGGCGGACAGGUAAGUCAGUGGUGAAAUCUCCGGGCUUAACCCGGAAACUGCCGUUGAUACUAUUUGUCUUGAAUAUUGUGGAGGUAAGCGGAAUAUGUCAUGUAGCGGUGAAAUGCUUAGAUAUGACAUAGAACACCAAUUGCGAAGGCAGCUUACUACACAGUUAUUGACACUGAGGCACGAAAGCGUGGGGAGCAAACAGG
rnacentral:rRNA from 1 species